rnacentral:tRNA from 1 species
AUACCGAAAGUAUAUGUACAGUACAGUUGCCUUCCAAGUAAAAAGACCACCAAAAGGUCGGUAUG